CACGUAGGGCGCAAGCGUUGUCCGGAAUUAUUGGGCGUAAAGAGCUCGUAGGCGGUCUGUUACGUCUGCUGUGAAAUCCCUCAGCUUAACUGGGGAACUGCGUCUGAUACUGGAUGGCUUGAGUUUGGGAGAGGGAUGCGGAAUUCCAGGUGUAGCGGUGAAAUGCGUAGAUAUCUGGAGGAACACCGGUGGCGAAGGCGGCAUCCUGGACCAACACUGACACUGAGGAGCGAAAGCCAGGGGAGCAAACGGG
rnacentral:rRNA from 1 species